rfam:Picea glauca, whole genome shotgun sequence.
UACCUACAACAUAGCAUUAAUGCAUUGGAUUCCAUUAGAACUCCGCAGUUAAGCGCACUAGGCUAGAUUAAUACUAGGAUGGGUGACUGCCCGGGAAGUCCUAUUAUUUUAAAUGC